AUGCACGCUGGCGGCGUGCCUCAUACAUGCAAGUCGCGCGAACGGACGAGAAGCUUGCUUCUCUGAUGUUAGCGGCGGACGGGUGAGUAACACGUGGAUAACCUACCUAUAAGACUGGGAUAACUUCGGGAAACCGGAGCUAAUACCGGAUGAUAUUUUGAACCGCAUGGUUCAAAAGUGAAAGACGGUCUUGCUGUCACUUAUAGAUGGAUCCGCGCUGCAUUAGCUAGUUGGUAAGGUAACGGCUUACCAAGGCAACGAUGCAUAGCCGACCUGAGAGGGUGAUCGGCCACACUGGAACUGAGACACGGUCCAGACUCCUACGGGAGGCAGCAGUAGGGAAUCUUCCGCAAUGGGCGAAAGCCUGACGGAGCAACGCCGCGUGAGUGAUGAAGGUCUUCGGAUCGUAAAACUCUGUUAUUAGGGAAGAACAUAUGUGUAAGUAACUGUGCACAUCUUGACGGUACCUAAUCAGAAAGCCACAGCUAACUACGUG
rnacentral:rRNA from 1 species